rnacentral:rRNA from 1 species
CCUACGUGAGGCAGCAGUGAGGAAUAUUGGUCAAUGGCCGGAAGGCUGAACCAGCCAUGCCGCGUGAAGGUCAGUGCCCUAUGGGCGUUAAACUUCUUUUGUGCGGGAGCAAUAAGGGUAACGUGUGGCCAGACGAGAGUACCGUACGAAUAAGCAUCGGCUAACUCCGUGCCAGCAGCCGCGGUAAUACGGGGGAUGCAAGCGUUAUCGGGAUUUAUUGGGUGUAAAGGGUGCGUAGGCUGUGAGGUAAGUCAGCGGUGAAAUGCCCCCGCCCAACGGGGUGAAGUGACAUUGAUACUGCCUUGCUGGAAUGCGGAUGCCGUGGGAGGAAUGUGUGGUGUAGCGGUGAAAUGCAUAGAGAUCACACAGAACACCGAUUGCGAAGGCAUCUCACGAAUCCGCGAUUGACGCUGAUGCACGAAAGCGUGGGUAUCAAACAGGAUUAGAUACCCGUGUAGUC